rnacentral:rRNA from 1 species
CACGUAGGGACCAAGCGUUGUCCGGAUUCAUUGGGCGUAAAGAGCUCGUAGGCGGCUCAGCAAGUCGGGUGUGAAACCUCCAGGCUCAACCUGGAGACGCCACCCGAUACUGCUGUGGCUAGAGUCCAGUAGGGGAGCGUGGAAUUCCUGGUGUAGCGGUGAAAUGCGUAGAUAUCUGGAGGAACACCGGUGGCGAAGGCGGCAUCCUGGACCGGUAUUGACGCUGAGGCGCGAAAGCCAGGGGAGCAAACGGG